CAGGAAACAAAGAGAACCCAGAGAGCUCUGCUUUUACAUUUUAAGCAGGUACAGUCUGAGCCAAGCACAGGCAUCAACAACAUCUCGAAGAUCUCCACCUGGCACAGAGAUGCAGGGAUUGAAGGGUAAUUUACUAUUGGAAGAGGCCACCUUUGGAUUAUUAAUAUUCUGAGGAGUAAGAGAAUACUUGAAUUAAGAAGAAGCAAUUGAUGGACAAUCACCUGCUUCUGAGACGCUGCUUGCAGCACCCACAGCAGUAGGAUACAGAGAGACAGAGCCGACACAGACGUUCAGGAAUGUUAUUAUGCUUUGUUGUGCCUACAUGUCCCCACCUCUGUCCCUCUCCCCCCACACCUCUCCCUUCCUCCCUGCCUCCCAUCUUACACAUACACGCUCCCUUCUGCAGUAUUGCAUCUCACAACUGCUGGCCUUAGAGGAGUGUACUGCUAAAAUGCAUAAUCUUACCAUCCCUUCUUGCUAUUCAUGGAUUUAUUUACAAGUCCCCACGUUCUGCUUUUUUUUCCUGUUACUACAGUUUUUUCACUGGUAGGCCUAUAUGCUUGCAUAUAGGAAUUUUGAAUAAAAAUCAAUAUAUAACUGGCAAAUAUUCCGUAUUUCCAUAAUUUAGUUCUCUGCUUUUUUUGUGUUUUUUUUAAUGCACCAUUUUAGGAGAUUUAUGGACUUACAGAUAUAUGAAAAAUGUGUUGCUUGGCAUUUUUACUUCUUUACUUUAAGACUUCAACUACUUAAGGUUCUGUUUGUGUAAAAUAGCUUGAAUAAAAUGAAUUUAUGUACACAUGUAUAUGUGUGUAUGUAAAUGCAAUUGAAAUUAAAAUGUUCAUAAAUCCUUGUCAAUUAUGCUGAUUAAGCCCCACUCUAAUAUGGGCAGUGGUAAGUUUUUUUGUAAAAGAGUUCAAGUGUUAGAGAAAGAGUUACUAAUUUUAAUUUUUCAUUUUGUAGAGAGUAAAGAAAAGAUUUAACUAGUUGGAAGGAAUCAGUUCCUACUUAGCUAAUUUUCACUUCUUUAAGAAAGCCUUCCUUAGUACAUUUUACAACUGCCAAAUGAAUACUUCCUUUCUGUGAAGAGAAGAAUUUAAUUAAUUACUUAUUUUCUAAAUAUUUACAGACCUGGGCUUUAUUCUGCAAGUUCUUGAAAGUUGCAACACUUACCUGAGUGAACCUCUUAGUAUCAAUAAAUUACUGAUCCAAGAAGUUUCUUUUAAGUAAAUUUGCUGCAUCUGUCUCUAAAAUUUAAAUACAAUUUUAAUAUUAAUUCUAUGUAUUUUUCUCCUCCCUCUUUUUUUCCUUUGAGAUCCACUUGUGCACAAAUAAUUGAUAUUGCUUUUCCAGAAGUCAAUAUAAAUUACUUUUACUGAGCUACAACAAUAAAAGAAUUUCACAACAUGUACAUAUGUAGUAUUUACUUUUCCCAUCCCAUUAUUAUUUGAAGCAACAAGGUUUUCCUCAUAAACUCUCCAUAUAUAAAAUUCUAUUGCUCUUAAUGUGGGCAUGCAUGUCACAUUAUUAAGUGAGAGCAAUAUCUUUCAAAGAGAUAGUUAAUUUGCAGUCAAAUGCAGAACAGUUCGCAUUACUAUUACUGUGUCUGAAGCUUGAAGUUUAUUCCUUCUAGGGCUUGAGGUUUUAUUUUCUUCUGUAAAUAACCAUAGUGCUUUUACAAGACAUUGCCUCAGCAAUUUAGAGUGGAGGAUAUUUUUAGACUACAUUCACUGGAAGAGGCAGUGAAGUAAGAUAUACAUGUAUUUGUAAUUCAUAUUUAUACCCUGCUUCUAUUGUACUCGGAGCUUCCAUCAUGGCUGAAAUUGGGAGCUGGCAUUUAGGCAGUGCAGCACGGCUGUGAAAAGCCACUCUCACCAAAACACAGAGCAGGGGUUCUCUCUCUCUCCCUCCCAUUACUGCUGCUAACUAUUACUGUGCUGAUUCUAUUUUAAAAAAUAAAGGUAUAUACCUGUGGGUCAGGGAGGCAUGUCUGGACUGUCUGUUAAAUAACACUAUCAAUCCUUCUGGCCCAGAACAGAGAGCUUUUCAUUCUGCUCUUUCAAGACCCUCAGUCUACACAUUCAACAAUACGGCAGAAAAAUAAACUGAAAUGAGCUGGCACUAAACAUUUAAAUUCUCUGCUGCUAGGUGGUUGUGCUUAUGGCCAUGUUUUAGAUUGUCCCCUUCCCCCCAUGCUUUUGCUGAUUUCACCUCAUUUACAUGACCUUAUUAUGCAUAUAGCCUUUGUUCUGAUAUAGAGUGCAGCAUGGUGACAAAGCAAAACCUAUAUAGAGAGAAAACAUUUUCUCUUCAUUGGAGUUGUUCCAGCUAUCCAGUAUUAACAUUUAU